rnacentral:lncRNA from 1 species
GGUUCAGUUUCUCAACUUUGUUCUUUGCCCACAAUAAGUGAAAUCCAUCAUGAUUGAUCUUGGGACAAGUGGGUGGAUGGAGUUGGUCUUACUAUGGAGGGUGCUGGCCGCGGGGGAGCGAUGUCGCUUAGCUUUGACUUUGCGACGGCACGCUGAUAUGUUUUUAGAGCUAUGGAUCAAUUUGUUGGCUUUGAAGGACAAGAUCAGAUUAUUGGCUGAUAACUUGGCUUUGAAUUUGGAUGCCAGACUGCAUGAUCUUCAUCCAGCAUCUUGGUAUGUUCUAUGUUCCUUUUAUUUGGUGAUAUUAUAAUUUAACAUGUACAUGUAUCUAGAUUUGCAAAACUUUGUGGGGCGACUUGUGUUGAAAACAGAUCUCUCUCUCUCUUCAAAUCCAGGUACUGUGUUGCAUGGUAUCCUAUUCCCUUGGGCACUAGAUUCAUUAGAGCAGCUGGGGCUGCUGUUUUACCAGUCAUAAGCCUAUAAUAUUACAAUGCCAAAGUAAAGGACUGACAUACCACAUGAUACAUAGAUGCCAACUAAAAUGACUGGUGCAAAUUGGUGGUACAACUUGAGGCCUAAAACAAGAUAUCCCUUCUUAUUACAUGAUUUGAGGUUUACAUGCUUCAUUUUUCUGUUUCCUGGGAUGAACAUGCUUGAUUUGUGUUUGCAAAGCAUAUAAAUUACUAGAUGGGAUACUAAAAAUGGUUGGAGUUUUUGAGAAACUAAAUCAUACCACCUACUUGGGUCAUAUCUGUUAGAGCAGCUCCAGUAGUUAUGUAAAUUUUAACUCUCUAAAUCACAGAUUUAAGGAGUUGCUAAAUAACUUUGGUAGUAAAAAAAUGAGUUCUCCAAUAGCUCUCUAAAUAUAUGUUGUAGUUUUGUUUUGAAUCUAUCCAUAUAAAAAAAAGUCACACAUGUCAACAACCACCUUCAUUACCUACAUAAUGUAAGCAUUUUUUUGUUUAGGAAGUUAGUGAAUGGUUGUCAAAUGUGGAUUGCUAAGUUCUUGGGGCCCAGGUGGAUUGCUAAGUUAUUCAAGAACUAUCAGUUGAUUAUGCAUAAGGGCCAUAUUUAUCCUUUGGCUCUGGAUUUCUUGGCAACUGAAUUGAUAAAGUACUUAUGUUUCCUUUCUACUGUUUUGUUUGAAUGACUGGCCCCUACUAGAUUUGCAAGAAGUUGGAUAUCAAGGUAAGCUAACAUUUUGAUCUUUUAUUAGUUUGUUCUAAUGGUGUCUAUUGUGCCAAACAGACUGAUGCUCAUGCUGACUUUGUUCUCAUGGAUGGCUUUUAGGAUCAAGUAUGCAAAGUAUAUCUAUCAUGUUUCUCAAAUAAUCUAAUACAACACUCAUCAAUGCUAACUAAUUAAGAUCUUGCUCUAAUCUCUCACCCCCUGCCCCAUUUGUGUUCCCGUAGGAAUCAAUUUCCUCGCGAUAGGUCUGGUGUCCUUUAUUUCCUGGGUAGAGAACGAUUGCCUGAUGGAUGGUGAUGAUGGAUGGAUACAAAUGAUGUGUUUUUUUGUCAAUUUUUUGAACAAGUAAGCAUCAUAUCCUUCAGGAAUUUUUUUGGCAUGGAAAUCCUAAAUUAUGGGCAUAUAUUGGUUGCUUACUUUGUUUCUUAAAUGUAAACCUGAACCACCUAGGAGGAACCGUGUUAAGAAAAAAUAAGCAACUGAACUUGGGUGGCUUAGUAUUUACUAGAGUUCACUAUUUUCUUCGUACAUAUUGUUCCAAAUUCAUUUGUUUUUGUACCAUGAUGUUUCACACAACAACCUCAGUUUGAUUUAAGUCAUCAUUCUAUGCACGGGACCAAUUAUGUCCAGUAAAAUAUCCACUAAAUACUUAUUUUGAUUUUAUGCACUGGAACACUAUUUGGUCUUUUUAGUCACAUUGUGUGUGGGCAGUGUAGCCCAUAUGUGGUUCUAUCCUAUCUUCUAAUUUGUUUGAACCAUGGACAAAACUAUCAAGCCUAUUAUUAUUUUAGCUUUUCAAAUGAUAGGCUGGUAUUUAUGUGCAUUAUAUCUCUCAACUAGGGAUGGCAGUUGGACCCGUGGGUAUGGAUACCCACGGGUUUCGUACCCGAUGGACAUGGAUACGAGUAGAAAAAUUCACCCGCGGGUCUUGUCGGAUCGGAUACCCGAAAUAUAUCGGGUAGGGUACGGAUAAUAUAUUUUAUCGACGGGUAUCCACUGGAUACCCGAAAUAUUAAUUCACAUAUUGUGUUGUCCGUAUUUCGACCCAUGAAACCAAAGUCGAAAGAAAACAUAAGGCCAAACACACGCACACCCCAUCUCCCUGUUGCUAUCUCCUAACUUCCUAACCCUGCGCCGCUGUCCCAGGUCUAGGUCCUAGCCCGGCACCCCUGCCCCGCCCAGAUUUGCACUGAGCCGCCAACCGAAGGAGCAUCCGUCGCCUCCCUAGCCCUCCACAAGUAAUGGCAGUCGUCGUCCGCCAGCAAUUCCGCAUCCGCCUGCAGUGGCAGACGCCGUCGCGCUUGCAGUGGCAGCUGCGUGGAGGCCGGUGGUCGAAGCGACGUCGCACCACUGUUGUCCACCUAUAGUGGCAGUCACCGUCAAUCAACAUCCACGCCGAAGGCCGUCCGCUAGCAUCCGCCAUCAAUUUACAUGCUGAUUUAUAUUUUACACUAGCAUAUCCACCGGAUACCCGAUACCCGACGGGUACUCGGUGGGCGCGGGUACGGGUACAAUUUUUUGCCCGGUUGGCUUGGUGGGUAUGGAUAUUUGUAGAAGGGUCAGGUAUGAUAUCGGAUCGGAUAUUGGUAUACCCGAACACAACCCGACCCGCUACCAUCCCUACUCUCAACUGUCAAUAUAAUGUUAGUGCGCACUGGAACACUGUUCGAUCUUUUUAGUCACAUUGUGAGUGGGUAGUGUAGCCCAUGUGUCAAUAUGAUGUUAGUGAUAAGUUAGGACCUAGGUCCAUAUUCUGCCACCGUUUUGUUCUAUCGGUCCUUUAUGAUUGUUCUAGCUUCCAAUUGUAACUAGGUGAAUGCCCGUGCGUUGCUACGGAGUGAAUAUCUUUCUUUUGCAGUUGUAGCAUUACAAAACAAUCCUAUCUCUCUUAGCCUCUUGUUGUGACUGUUGUCGCUACAAUAGCAAUAGCCGAUAAAACAAAUUGGGCAGCAACAAGAGAGAAAACGACAACUCUCCACAACUGUUAAGUAUGUAUAGGUAUGUGUUCGUGCGUUGCCAUGAGAGUUAAAAAUUAGUAUAAACCAUAUAUAUGAAAUAACAAACAUCACUGUGACAUGCACAAUCCGUUUAGCAAAACACCACGGUAACACUAAUUUUAUAUCCACACUCAAAAGUUGCAACACAACCAAGGUUGGCAUUUAUGACUAAACUAAUUAUCCAUAUUCCAGCAUCACACUUACUCUUACCAAUGAGAACAAAUUGGAAUUACCUAAAAUCUAAAUUAUCUAUCAAGACUGAUACAUGUAACCAAUCAACAUGUUAGGAGGGUGAAAACACGAUUCCCUUGGUCAGUGCAACACCCCGAGUACAAACCUGGAACACUCAGGCUUUAGUUUUUGUCCAAAAGGGCCAGUAACAGGUUUUUCAGCAACAUGAUGACUGAUGGAACUCUAUGGAUAUUGUUUUUACAAUAGGCACCUCUACUAUGAAUAUGGUACUUGAGAAACUCCAUUUACCUGUCCAGGAUGGCCAGAUGUUUCGGAUUCGUGUACCUUUCCUCUGCAGCGGAGAAUAAUCAGGAUUAAACUCAUCCUAUUCUUAGAAAGCAAAGAGAAAAAGGAUAUACCUCUAUGCUGCCAUCAAUGCGGAUGAGAGGAAUCUAGUCUAGGAAACAAAACAAAUCAUCUAAUGCUGGCAUACUAUGAUUACCCAUUUACAAAUUCCAUAUUACAAUUACUAAUUUACAAUGGAUACUAAUUUACAAAGACAUGUGCAGUAGUCGUAGUACAAACUUGAACGAAAUACAUUACACAUGUAUGGAAUUGCCAUUCUAAUUUUAUGUAAAUGUAUGUUCCAAUAAAACAAACCUUGAACCAAGGAACCAGAUUUACGAGAAACAUUUUUAGAAUCAUUUUAGAAUUCAUGGAUUAUUAGGGCGAGGAUAGUUUGAAGUUUGGAAGGAUAUACCUAGUUCUAGCAUAAUGCAUGCCACUAACAAGCCAAUGAUAUACCACAGAUACAUCCUCCUGCAGUAAUAUAGUCAGUACAAUAUCAACACUCGCACGUUACCAGAGUUAGUAAAUAUAAACAUUAACAAGAGUAUUGAUCGAUAGCCCGUCAACCAAUAUUCAUAUUUAAUGCAUAAGGGCAGUUCUAAAAAAAAGAAUGUCUGGUUAUACACUACCUGAAAGUAUAGAAGUAGGUUUGCAGAUGGCAUUGUUCCUCCAGUGAAGAAGUACCUCGUGAUCCAGUCAUCAUCGUUUUUAUCCUGUCAAAUUGUGAGGUGAUGAAGAUUAACAUAACUAAUAAUAUUUUAAUAAAAAGAUUAACUCAUUUUAAGUUUAAAGAAGUGAAAACCUAAAUACUACCCGUGUGCUAAAACACUGGUGAAGAUUAGUAAUUAUGACUUUCAAUGUUUACAUCAAAGAACUAUCACUUUCAGUAUGGAUCGGAUACUGAGAGCCUAAGUUCUUUGAGGACAGGACAACUUUAAGGCCACAUGGAAUGCCUUAGCUAUUAAAAUAAAAAGUAUGAUGUGUGCAUCAUCUGACACAGAUUAGCUAUGACUUUGUGCACCAGCCAAAUACAAAUACCGAUACAAGCUGCAGUUAAAUAGGUGGUGGAAUGCACCAAAUGAACAGUGGAACUGAGGAUCGUUAAUCUGCUACCUCAAAGUGAUAUGGAAAUGCUUUGUGGCAGAAGAGGUGAACGAAUAGUAGGCCAUCCUCUUUCACCCACCUGGAUAUCUUCUUAAGAAGCGACUUGUAGUUUUUCAUGUGCUACAUAAAGGGCCAUGACAAACGACCAUUUACCUUGAUGAAUUUCCAAAGCACAGCAAGACACCAAACUGAACCAUACCUCAAACAUCUCUAUAGAUACACCAAACUGAACCAUACCUCAAACAUCUCUAUAGAUACGAUCCUGUCAAAAGAGCGUUCCAUCUCAAACUUGCUGAUGUCGGCUACGAUUAUCUCAAUAUUUGACAGCUCAUUUUCCCUGAAACAGAAUUGAAAUGGCAAUGUGGCAUAACAAAGCAUUACCACAAGGGAAAUCAAAGUUAGACCAAAUGGCGGUGGAAGAUCUGUCUGCAUAUCUAGCAAAUGUCCAUGCAAGUGCAAGAUAAUUUAUGUCAAUAGUAUGGUUGAAAUAAUAGAAAUAGGUCUUAUAUCCUUAAACAGCUGCAAGUUUGCAAUAGUAUUUGAAGUAUUUCUGUCAAUAGUAUUUGCAAGUUCACAAUAGCUGCAAAAUGAACAGCAAUAUAACAACAUGCUGAACAAGAAACAGAUUGCAGUGACACGAAUAGGCUGCAAUGGUCAAUUAGAAGGGUUACAUGGAACAUAUGUUGGCUCCAAAUGCUUCUUCACAAAAUGGUAAGACCCUAAAUAAAUUUUAGUUCAAAAAUGAAUAGAAAUAAAGUCUGAUCCUAAUCCGAUCUAAUCCUUAAAUCUUAUAGUGUAAAAUUUAGCUCAUUGUCACCCAUACAUACAACUGAAGCACUGAAACCAUUACACUUACCUACAUUGCUCUUCUAUAAAAGCCUUCUGUGUAGUAGAGUUGCAUAUCCCUGUUACACUGCAGUUCCUAUAUUUCUUUGCAAUGUACAGUGAAAGGGAUCCCCAUCCACAUCCAACAUCUAGGAUGCUUUUGCCAUCUUGUAGUUUCGACCUCUCACAAUACAGAUCCAUCAUCGCAACCUCAGCAUCUUCUAGGGUGCUUGAAUCAUCAGGGAAAUAGCAGGAAUUGGAAGAUUCAAUAUAUUUGUGUGGAUUAACAAAAGAGAAUGUAUCUUGUUAAAACCAAGGAGUGGGACUACACACUGCACCAUCAGCCACUCAUAUAAACAGACCUGUUCCUAGUAUACACCAGCCAAAGAAAAUAUGUCUUUUGCUAAAACUAAGGAGUGCGCACAAACCUGUAUUUGAGAUUCCUUCCAAGCACUAACUUGAAAAAUGUAGUUGGCAGCUCAUAAUGUUGGGCUUUAGCUUUGUCUGUUUCAAUGGCAAUGGGCAUGUCUUCAAGAGCUGCAUCAUAUAAACGCACAGCACAGUAAUGAGAAAUUCGAUUCUUAAGACAUCCAUAGCAUCACAAAACCAGCAAACGUUAGAUACCGCUCUGGUUGUUAGGUUAGUAUUUACUGAAACAUUAGACAAAGAAACAGAUAUAUGACAUCUCAUGUAUUCGUCGAAUAUUUCCCACGGAAUCCCCCACGAAUGGCUUAUCUGACCUUGGAUCUAGAAUCGAUGAUCAUGAUUUAAUAUAAACACCAUGUGUAUCAAAGAUCUAUAUGCACCUGAUAGGUUCCCUUCUGUUAGGAACAUUUCAGAUGGAGCAUGCACCUUUGUGCAUAGGGCGAUGUAAAUAUUAAAUCACGACUAUCUAUUUCAAAUUCAAGUUCAUUCCACAUCUUCCUCUUCACGCACAGUUCUGGGUGGGAGUGGUAGAGGACUUUUUUGCAAAGAUAAAUAUAUAGGCAACAAGAAGGCUAUGGAAGGACAUUGAAUCUAGAAUGGAUGAUUACAAUUUAAUAUGUGCACCAUUUACACUAAGAGCCUGUUUGUUUAGGAUUAUAAUUUAUACAGAUUAUUUAGUUUAAAAUAAGUUAUAUUAUAUAAUCUAAACAGAUUAUAAUCUAAAAUAAACAAGCAUAUACCCCCUAAUACGUUUCUUAACUGAAAACGUCUUCUAAAGGUACCCAACCAACAGCUCAAGGCUGCUGAGUUCUCCUGUAAGCCAGCAUCAGUACUGCCCUUCAGGUAAGCACAAGCAAAUCCAAGUAUGGAAAAACUGCAUACCAUUUAUCGCCAUAAUAUUCUACUGGAAGUCUAGAACACCCUGUAAUUUAUAAAGGAAGCUGUCCAAUGGUUACCAUGAUCAGGAAUUCAUCCCAAGAGAAAAUAGACAAACCAUAAUUUUUAGCUUCAUCUUUAUGGUAAUUUCUGACUCCUCCAAUGCUUAUGGCCGCUGGCAGAUGAAACGAAAGAAAAACCAUGAUUUUCACACUAAUGAAUUAUCUAACCAAUCAACAUCAUGUUAGGGAGGCACUUACUUUUCAGAUACUUCGAUGUGGCAUGGUAAGCUUUCAGGAGCUAUUAUCAUCUAAAGUAAUCAACAAACAUGAUACAGUUAAAUAUAAAUAUAAACCAUCUAAAUUAAUAACACUAAUGUGAGCUCCCUGUGAUUCAAGUUGUUAGUUAAAUCAAUCUAGGUCCAUCUCAAAAGUUUCCGGUCCACGGCCAUCCUGUCCUCGUUGCCGAAGAGCACGACAUCGCCAGAGAAACACUUCGUUGCAGCACCGCCGCCGCCGGACUCUUCGAUAACACCAAGGACCCGCGACGCGACCUCCGCCACAGUGGUGUUGGUCGGGGCGCAGGUCACCAUCCUGUGGUUCUCGAUAAUCAGAUAAUAGAUUAAUCCACCUCAUCCAUUAGAAGCAAGACCAAUGGUAUCUCUUCCAUUACCAGCGUCCGCUGCAUUCAUGCCUCUCUGUUCUCACAUGAUGCUGGAAGAUCAUCAUCGGUUCCUGUAACCAAAGCCAAAUUUCUUAGUACAUCAUUUCAAAUGUUGUUACCUGACUGGUUCAAACUGGCGGGUAGGUAAAAUUCUGAAAGUUGUUCUGCUUGUACAAAAAUGUGUCGUUCCUGAUGUUCUAAUAAAAAGGUUCAUGAAUUAACCAACAGAAGAAAACAAAUCAUGAUUUACCUGCUCAAUUUCUCUUUUAUACAUGUUAAGUGCCCUUAUUAUGUCAUUUCUCUGCAUCUCAAAGAACUGCAGUGUGCAAAAUAUGUAAGUUACCUCAAGAAAAUAAAGACAAAUGACUUUUCUCUGAUUUUGAAAAGCAAGCUGAUAGUACUCACCUUGUCAAAAAGAUUGAGUAUCACGUCAUUGAUGGCUGUUUGGAUCCUAGCACUCUCUAGAGCAACCUACCAUUAAUAACACAUAAACACAAGUUCAAGGAAUCCUAAGAUCACUUGUCCGAUGAAUAACAAAUGAAGUUCCUGGUGAAGAAACAUUCAGCUUGAAUAGCUCAAGCGAAGAUGUGACCAAUCAAAAAUAAAAAAUUACAAGAGUCAAUUUUUUAAGGGAGUUAGGACUUCAUGUUCACCUUAAAGAACUCGUAUACAUGGUAUUUUGAUACUGAGUGAUUCCAAGAACAACGAUCAACAAUAAUUUUGUUCAGAGCCGCAAGAAAGCUACCAAGAACUGCAAGCAAGAUAUACAGUACAAGGUAGUGAGAAAAGGUCAACCAAAACAAAUAUAAAAAUGGUGUUACUUCCAUGGCCAAAUGAAAUUUUUCAAGGUUGUUCAGUGCAUUCGACUACAAAUGCACAACAGAGUAACUAACAAUUUCAGACGAACAACUAUAUGGUGUAAUCAUUUCGCAUACCUUCAUCUACAUCAACAGCAACCACCAUCACAACAACCUGCUCUAGGAACCGUAGCGGCUUCCCUCGCUGACAUGCACCAUUCACAGUAGGGCAAAGCAAACUAAAUAGGCUUCUUUUUCAGCGGAAACGAACUGAGCAUAAGCUACCUAGUAGAAUGUUUGAUAUUCAGUCCCAAUUCUUGGCCAUGAACCAAAUAAAAACAAAAUGCAUCAUUAGCUUGAAUCAAUUGCCAUCAGAUUUAGAUGCUCAAAUAUAUUGUCAUGUGCUAAAUCAAAACAUUUGGAGUGAAAAUAUGGAAACCAGAGUACAAUAUCUUCCCCAUAUUUCCAAUGGUCUAGCUCACUGUUGAUUCGGUUGUGCGCCUCUCAUGUGCCUAAAAAGAAACCCACAUGACCUAGUGGUUAGCUGCUAAGAAAAAAUCGAUAAGGAAAUUGUUACUGUUUUUGAAAUGGGGGGAAUGAGUUCAUUCCACCAAAUUUGUGGAAUGGACUCAUGAUGAUGCACCACAUCAUUCUCGAAUGGAUUUAUUCUUUAAACCAAACACCCCUUAGAUAAUGAAAUGAGUAUCCUUUUUAUGACUGUUCAAUGAAACAAUUUUCUUUCCCAAUAAGUAAUGAGAUGGGUUUGAAGUUGGCAACUUACAAGAAGAUAGAUCGCUAUAGUAAGCAUGAAGAUAAGCAUAGGAUAAUCUGGUAUGAAACAAAGCCAUUUUGGCUGUCCAUUUGGCAUGCUAGACCUAAAAAAGCUUGGUCACACUGUAGAAAAGCAAAGGUAUUUGAGCAGCAUUUUUAGUUCAGUUGAAUUAACUAUUGAUAUAUGAGAAAAAAAUAUCAGAGUUGACCUUAUAUCCAGCAUGCUAUACAGUUAUAUAGGAAUAUAUUACUGCAAGGCUAAAUGGAAGUACCUCCAAUAAUUAGGAAAAAUAUAUGUAGCAGUGACACAAGAAUCAUACCUAAGCCAAAUAUGGAUAUGAGAAAUACAAGUCUCUAGUAUAAUCUUGCCAAGCCAUCUGUCACAAAUAGAGAUUAAUACUUCGCGAUCGAGUAAGCCAAGAAAACACAAGAAGAAUGUAGGUAGUAAAAGAUCUAAUGCUUACACGAAAAGAGCCAAAGAGGCACUCCUCAACUGCUAGGUGCAAUUGCGCAGGAAGAUAUAAACAUUGUAAGAAACAUAGUUCAUUGUAAACUGCAACAAAGCAUAUUGCAGGCACGUGCCACAUGUUCUGGAUGAACCCAGCGUGAACCAUGGGAUUAAACAUCUUGAUGGCCUCGUUCACAGAACCCUCAUAGCCACAACGUGCAGCCUGCAUAUUUGUAUAUUUCUAAUUUUUUUGCAUUCCAUACCUAUUUUAUGAUGACGUAUAUGUCCUUAAUGCCAAAAGCCACUUACAAAAACUUGAAAGUUUCCUAUUUUAUGAAACUCAAUGAAAUGAAUCAUGCACUCACACUACACUUAAAAAUAAAAAAACCCCUACAAUAUAGGUAUAACAGAUUUUUGAUAAGCCAAAAAACUUUAGGAUGGUAAGUGUUUGCAACGAAAAAAUUAUGAAGGCAGAGAAACAACAAACUUCUGUGUCAGGUGCUGUAAACAAUGAAAACUGUUAAAUAUGUUCAUAUGUACCAUGGAAUUGAUAGAACAAUGCUUCAGGAGUAGUUUCUUGUACUGACAGCGCUUAGAAUUUCCGAUGGGCUUAUUCAUUAGUUUAGGCAGUGAAAGACAUCUGAAACGAAAAAAACUUUGGAAAUUAAAUUAAUAAAGUCAAUAAGAAAAAACAUUAGAGAAUGAUGAGUAAACAUGGAUGUGUAAUCUGUAAACAUAUGAUCCUUAAUUGGGAGGGAAAAUGAUGAGUAAACAUGGAUGUAUAGCCUAUAAAUACCAGUAGCUUAGUGGGAAAAACUAUUGAUUAAUGCAUUCCAACCAAUGGUUGUAUCAACAUCUAGAAUGUGAUGUUUUAAUCACCUAGCAGUAACUACACACACUUAUAUUAGGAUCUGAAGGUUCAGCAAAAAAACUAUACUCGUUGCCAAAUAUAUCACAAGUCUCAGUUUUCAAUACCUAUACUUUUGCAUAUGCUUAAAGAAGGUUAAGGGUGUUGGUGUGUCAAUCUAGAAUGACUGCACCAGUGAAAUGUUGGGUUUAAUUUAAAACUGUUUAUCCAUGUUGCUUUAUAUUCUUUUACCGAUGGGACAUAAUGGGCAAAAUUUCUAUUGUUCAUUCGAAGAGGCCGAAAACAAAACAAAGGAUAACAUGGCACUGGUGCAAGGCAAUGAAUAGUACUACCAAACUACCAACCCGUCCAUGAAUAUUCAGUUGCAAUAAGCAAACAAACAAAUCAACAUCAGCCGGUCAGAAAGGCUGCUGAGUGCUGAGCUCCUCAAAUUGUGGAAUGAUACAUGGUAUGGUAGUCACAUGUACAGUAGUGCACCACUACCUAGUCCAGCAAUUUAGCAGGCAGCACAAGAGCUCAUUCAGAUUAGGGCGAUAAAAAGCAGGUGAGGACAGAGGAAAGGACGAGAUGGCGAGGGAAGGAGGGGAAGUGGGAACGUACCUUCGCGGAUCUUCUCGAGCGCGGCGAGCAUGGCCUUCCGCUUGGUCUUGCGCAGCCACUGCGGUGCGGAGCGAACAACAGCCGGCGGGGGUCAGCUAAGCGAACAGCAGCAAAGCAGUAGUGAGGCGAGAAGAAUGCCCCGUGCGGGCGGGACUCUGUCACCUUGGCGAAGCGCGAGAGGGAGCGCUCGACGAGGAAGCAGGCAGCGACCAUGAGCGUGGUGACGGUUGCCACGGACCAGGUGGCGUCUCCGCCAGCGACCGCCCCUGCUCCGCCGCCAUCCCACCCCGCUCAGCUCACCGCCGGAUCACUCGGCUCCCGCCACCUUCAGUUCCAGCUCUGAUCUGCCCUGAUAUCUGGAUUUGCGUGAUGGUAUUAUUGGGAUUUGGAAGCGGCGAGGAAGUGGUGAGGCCGGAGUAGUUAAUGCGGAUCGAGGCGGAGGGGAGGUGGGUGGGCAUGAGGAUACCUGAGAGCAAGGACAGCGACGUUGAGGAUGCCGGUGAUGUAGGCGGCUGCGCCACCAAACCCUAGACCCUAAUCUCCAUGGUAGAGGCGAGCGCAGAGCGAGACAAAAGAAGACGCGUACCAGAGAGAUGGGGAGGCCGAGGUCCAGUUCCCACCGACGCCGCAGUCGGCGCCGCCCUUGCUCGCGUCGUAGAGGAGAGAAGUGGUGGAGUUAGGACGUGGCUGUGGACCUCUCACCACCACCAACCCGAGUGGCCGAGAGCGAGCCGCGUCGAGAUCAUGGUGGCGGCCCAACGACCGUGUCCGGCGCGAUCUGGUGAAGCCGAGCAGGUUGGGGAAGAAGCGAGACGAGAGGGACGGAGAGAGAGGGAGGGGGAGAGGGCGGCGGCGUCGGUUCCAGAGAGGGAGAGGUUGCUCAUGGCGUCGGUUCCAGAGAGGGAGGACACACGCGGGCGGAUGGAUUGUGAGCGGCUAGCGCGGGCGACUACCGUGACACGGACGGUCGAGAUCGAUUAACGAUAACACGGACGGUCGAGAUCGAUUAACGGCAGAACGGCAGAACGAGGGAGGCAGACUACUAUUGCUUACUUAAUAAGUAGUACAGAUUGAAAGUGGACGGAUGCAAGGAUCUUUUGCUUUUCAAAAAUUACCUGAUUAAGCAUGCACAUUAUGUUUUCAUACGAAUAUUUCCAAAUAUUUGUUAAUAUACUUCAAUCAAUGCUUAACUUUGGUAUCUGCAAGUUUGAAGAUAACUAGAAGUCACUCUAACAUGCUCUUGCGCACUCAGAUUAAGUCAUUUUUAUGACUCGCAUGCAUUAUGUUUCUGCUAGCUUGCCAUGACAUUCAGUAACCUUUCAUGACUGUGUGACAUAUAAGUAAUCAACAAGCAACUUCAUUCAAUAAUCUUUCAUGACUGCGUGUGACAUAUAAGUAAUCAACAAGCAACUUCAUUCAAUAAUCUUUCAUGACUGCGUGUGACAUAUAAGUAAUCAACUGCAUACUUGUAACAAAAAAAUAAUGUUGAUUAUUUACAUAUACAUGUGCUACAUUUUAUUUGCAUAACAGAAAUUUAUGUACCUAUAGAGGAGACAUUUAUUCAUGACUAUAUUCAUCAAAUAGUUUGCUAGCAUCCUUUUGUGAACAACCACAACUAGCAUACACAGUUCUUGCCUGAUAUUAGCAGUUUCAUGGCGGGCACCUAAUUAAUUACCUAGCAAAUAUUGCUUGCAUUGUAGUGUAAACUUUUUAUCUGUUAUUGAAAAAAAAUGAAAUGAAUGAUAUCCAUGGGGCACUUGGUCCUUCACACAGUUUUAGUUCUUUGUCAUGAUGGAAGAACAGUUCUCUUGAUAUGACUAAUAUUUUACCUUGAAUUAAUUAAUUUGAAUAGGACUUUGAAUGAUAUCCAUGGGGCACUUGGUCCUUCACUUGCUUCACGCAUUACCUGUGUACAAUCAGAAGGAUAAAUGGAAUGCUAUAAGCUAAAUAUAAACAAUUUGGCAUUGAAAGAUGCAGAGAAUGGGAAGGGAAUCAUUGGGCACCAAAGCUGAACUCAUACAAGACAACUUUUGUUCUCCUAUUACUAGGGGUGACAAUAGGCUCUAAAUUUUACACUAUAAAAUUUAAGGAUUGGUUCAGGUUAGGAUCGGGCUCUAUUUCUAUUCUUUUUUCAACUAAAAAUAAUUUAGGAUCCUAACAAAUUGUGAAGAAACAUUUAGAUCACAAUUCAUUAACACCCCUACAUAUUAGAAGAAAUGCAUCUAGCAGGAAAACCAGCAUGUCAAUGAUGAACAAGUUAACAAGAUUCAGGUGGCCUCAUAGGUUGAAGAGCAGAAAUAUCCCUUAUAACUUCCUUUGGAGCGGAGCGAGCAAGCCUGCCCCAUCGACGCCG